rfam:Cucumis sativus cultivar 9930 chromosome 5, whole genome shotgun sequence.
CGAAGAAGAGCUUGUUAGAUUAGCCAAAAAGACUGCCUGAAAAUGAAGCUCAUACAAGUUCUAAAUAAUAAAACGAAAGCUCAUUCAAGUUCUAAGUAAUAAAACGAGAUCUCUUUUGCUCGUCGAAUUUGCAGGCAAGUCAUUUUUGGCUAUCAAACAAUACUUUUCUUU